rnacentral:rRNA from 1 species
AGCGGCGGACGGGUGAGUAAUGCGUAGAAAUCUGCCCUUUUGUGGAGGAUAACCCGGGGAAACUCGGGCUAAUACUGCAUAAUCUCUACGGAGCAAAGCGGGGGAUCUUCGGACCUCGCGCAGAAGGAUGAGUCUACGUCUGAUUAGCUAGUUGGUGGGGUAAUGGCCUACCAAGGCGACGAUCAGUAGCUGGUCUGAGAGGAUGAUCAGCCACACCGGGACUGAGACACGGCCCGGACUCCUACGGGAGGCAGCAGUGGGGAAUAUUGGACAAUGGGGGAAACCCUGAUCCAGCCAUGCCGCGUGUGUGAAGAAGGCCUUAGGGUUGUAAAGCACUUUAAGCAGGAAAGAAAAGCGCCGGGUUAAUAGCCCGAGCGUAUUGACGGUACCUGCAGAAUAAGCACCGGCUAACUCCGUGCCAGCAGCCGCGGUAAUACGGAGGGUGCGAGCGUUAAUCGGAAUUACUGGGCGUAAAGCGUGCGUAGGCGGUUGCGUGUGUCGGAUGUGAAAGCCCCGGGCUUAACCUGGGAAUUGCAUUCGAAACUGCGCGACUAGAAUAUGGUAGAGGAAGACGGAAUUCCACGUGUAGCGGUGAAUGCGUAGAUAUGUGGAGGACACCAUGGCGAAGGCAGUCUUCUGGGCAUAUUGACGCUGAGGCACGAAGCGUGGUUAGCAAACCAGAUAGAUACCUGGAUGGUCCACGUCG